UUUGUUUAUGUCCCUUUUAGGAGUUGGCCCCUCUGUUUCUAUUCUCUGAACAAAGACCGCUUCCAGUCUAAUCAUCCAUGUCGAUCCAAACUCACCCAGCGGUGCAAAAUUGAAUAAAAUAAAUAAAGUAAUAUUAGUUUCUACUGCUCCUUUUUUAUAUUAAUCAUGUUCAUCACUAGUCUAAAUGAGAAAAGAAACAAACAAGAUCGUUUAAAUAAUUUGUAGAUUCUAUGGCUUUGAAAUAAAAAUUUUCUUGGCAUGUCCUUGUCGGUUUUAAUAAUUGGGUUUAUACCCUUUUCGUCAACUAAUACGAUGUUCAGAACCCUGUAGAUUCAUUGUGUCUGAUACAUUUAUAAAUAUUAGGUGUAAAUUGUAAUCCACAUGUGACCUGUUCUGCUCUGGUUCUGUUUCUGAUCUGAUCUCUGUUUCAAGAAUCAGUUUUCUUUUCUUGACCAGAUCUCGCUCUCACCUAUCCCUGAGAUUAUUCAGUUGGUAAACUGGGUUUGUUUAGAGGGAGAGAAUUGGAUUAGUUUUGUUUGUUUAAAGAUUGAAUUUAUCUGAUAUUGAGAUGGGGAGUCACUGCUCUAAGCUCACACCAUGCUGCUGGGAUUCACAGUUCAAAGCAGCAGCAGUUGUCGAAGUUCCUGAUGCUAUUGGUAAUGGAGGGAAGAGUGAGGUUGAUCACUUGCCUGUGUUCCGCGAGUUCACGGUCGAGCAGCUCAAGAAUGCAACUUCAGGUUUCGCUGUAGAAAACAUAGUGUCUGAGCAUGGAGAGAAGGCUCCAAAUGUUGUUUAUAAAGGGAAGCUGGAAAACCAGAGGAGGAUUGCUGUUAAGCGCUUUAAUAGAAUGGCUUGGCCAGAUGCUCGACAAUUUUCGGAGGAAGCAAGAGCAGUUGGUCAGCUCCGCAACCAUAGACUGGCAAAUUUGCUU
rnacentral:misc_RNA from 1 species